rnacentral:rRNA from 1 species
GAUGAACGCUGGCGGCGUGCCUAAUACAUGCAAGUCGAGCGAACGGACGAGAAGCUUGCUUCUCUGAUGUUAGCGGCGGACGGGUGAGUAACACGUGGAUAACCUACCUAUAAGACUGGGAUAACUUCGGGAAACCGGAGCUAAUACCGGAUAAUAUUUUGAACCGCAUGGUUCAAAAGUGAAAGACGGUCUUGCUGUCACUUAUAGAUGGAUCCGCGCUGCAUUAGCUAGUUGGUAAGGUAACGGCUUACCAAGGCAACGAUGCAUAGCCGACCUGAGAGGGUGAUCGGCCACCCUGGAACUGAGACACGGUCCAGACUCCUACGGGAGGCAGCAGUGGGGAAUCUUCCGCAAUGGGCGAAAGCCUGACGGAGCAACGCCGCGUGAGUGAUGAAGGUCUUCGGAUCGUAAAACUCUGUUAUUAGGGAAGAACAUAUGUGUAAGUAACUGUGCACAUCUUGACGGUACCUAAGCAGAAAGCCACGGCUAACUACGU